rnacentral:rRNA from 5 species
UGAGGGGGGCUGCUCCUAGUACGAGAGGACCGGAGUGGACGCAUCACUGGUGUUCGGGUUGUCAUGCCAAUGGCACUGCCCGGUAGCUAAAUGCGGAAGAGAUAAGUGCUGAAAGCAUCUAAGCACGAAACUUGCCCCGAGAUGAGUUCUCCCUGAGACUUUAAGUCUCCUGAAGGAACGUUGAAGACGACGACGUUGAUAGGCCGGGUGUGUAAGCGCAGCGAUGCGUUGAGCUAACCGGUACUAAUGAACCGUGAGGCUUAACCUUACAACGCCGAAG